GGUCCUGUGGCGCAGUGGCAGCGCGAUUGACUCCUAAUCAAUAGGUCGCAGGUUCGAAUCCUGCUUGGAUCG